UUGCUAACAAAUUGUAGCUCAGUUGGUGAAAGGGAUGUCGUGCUGGCAUUCUCCAUUGACAAGACAAUCACCUUGAAUGUUGUCUGUCAGCAAAGUGUUUUUUUCCAACCUAUCAUGACAAAUCACAAAGCAUUGUCUGCCCGAAGGGGAAAUAUUUUGCUAGAAGUCUGUCAAAUUGAUCAGUAAGUUUUUGUUCUCAUUAAAUUGAAAGUUUCACCAUGACGAGCUCCAUCGGCUGCCAACAGUAGAUCUUAGGUGCCUUACUUCGCUUCGAUGUCUAGAAAUAGCCUCCUGCUAUCGAUCCCUACGCAUCCCAGAUAUAAGGAAAAGUUUUUGGCUGCAGUUGAGAAAGAAAAAAAAGCUCUUUUGGUUUAUGAGUUGUUGAGAAGGGAAAGCUGUUGAGAUAUUUAAGUUACUCUGAGAAGUUUGGUUUUUUAUGAGUUGUUGAGAAGGGAAACCUGUUGAGAUAUUUAAGUUACUCUGAGAAGUAACUUUCUAUUAGGCCUUUCUGCUCUGGUUACGUUUCGCCAACGGAAAGCAAAAGACGACAUAAUUUUUGGACUUUCUGUAUUGAAUAAUAUUGAAAUUCUGGACGUGAACAGUUAGAGCAAAUUGUAAAUGACUGUAAAAUGUACGAGAAACAGGGGAGAUUCUGAGGAUAGAAUGUUAAAUGUCAAUGAGAAGAGGAAGUAAAGUUUCAA